rnacentral:rRNA from 1 species
CCUACGGGAGGCAGCAGUGGGGAAUAUUGGACAAUGGGCGAAAGCCUGAUCCAGCAAUGCCGCGUGAGUGAUGAAGGCCUUAGGGUUGUAAAGCUCUUUUACCAGGGAUGAUAAUGACAGUACCUGGAGAAUAAGCUCCGGCUAACUCCGUGCCAGCAGCCGCGGUAAUACGGAGGGAGCUAGCGUUGUUCGGAAUUACUGGGCGUAAAGCGUACGUAGGCGGUUAUUCAAGUCAGAGGUGAAAGCCUGGAGCUCAACUCCAGAACUGCCUUUGAAACUAGAUAGCUAGAAUCUUGGAGAGGUGAGUGGAAUUCCGAGUGUAGAGGUGAAAUUCGUAGAUAUUCGGAAGAACACCAGUGGCGAAGGCGACUCACUGGACAAGUAUUGACGCUGAGGUACGAAAGCGUGGGGAGCAAACAGGAUUAGAUACCCUGGUAGUCCACGCCGUAAACGAUGAUAACUAGCUGUUCGGGCUCUACGAGCUUGUAGUGGCGCAGCUACGACAUUAAGUUAUCCGUCCGUCGGGAGGUACGGUCGCGAAGAAUUAAACUAACAAGAAGUUAGUACGGCGUGAGACGUAGCCGACGGACGACGACGAGGGAGGUUAGG